UGUGGUUAAUUCGAAGCAACGCGAAGAACCUUACCAGGCCUUGACAUGCAGAGAACUUUCCAGAGAUGGAUUGGUGCCUUCGGGAACUCUGACACAGGUGCUGCAUGGCUGUCGUCAGCUCGUGUCGUGAGAUGUUGGGUUAAGUCCCGUAACGAGCGCAACCCUCGUCCUUAGUUACCAGCACGUUAUGGUGGGCACUCUAAGGAGACUGCCGGUGACAAACCGGAGGAAGGUGGGAUGACGUCAAGUCAUCAUGGCCCUUACGGCCUGGGCUACACACGUGCUACAAUGGUCGGUACAAAGGGUUGCCAAGCCGCGAGGUGGAGCUAAUCCCAUAAAACCGAUCGUAGUCCGGAUCGCAGUCUGCAACUCGACUGCGUGAAGUCGGAAUCGCUAGUAAUCGUGAAUCAGAAUGUCACGGUGAAUACGUUCCCGGGCCUU
rnacentral:rRNA from 1 species